GAUGAACGCUGGCGGCGUGCCUAAUACAUGCAAGUCGAGCGAAGCGGGGGCGGGUGAGUAACACGUAGAUAACAUCCUAUAAGACUGGGAUCACUUCGGGGGACCGGAGCUAGACCGGAUCCUUAUUGAUAGAUCCUCGGGGCAUGAGCUAGUUGGUAAGGUAAAGGCUUACAAAGGCAACGAUGCGUAGCCGACCUGAGAGGGGGAUCGGCCACACUGGAACUGAGACACGGUCCAGACUCCGACGGGAGGCAGCAGUAGGGAAUCUUCCGCAAUGGGCGAAAGCCUGACGGAGCAACGCCGCGUGAGUGAUGAAGGUCUUCGGAUCGUAAAGCUCUGUUAUUAGGGAAGCGUUACCUAAUCAGAAAGCAACGGCUAACUACGUGCCAGCAGCCGCGGUAAUUC
rnacentral:rRNA from 1 species